GACGGAGGGGGCAAGCGUUGUCCGGAGUUACUGGGCGUAAAGAGCGCGCAGGCGGCUGGUCAAGUCCGAUGUGAAAUCUCCCGGCUUAACUGGGAAACUGCAUCGGAAACUGAUCGGCUUGAAGGUGGGAGAGGGUAGUGGAAUUCCCGGUGUAGUGGUGAAAUGCGUAGAUAUCUGGAGGAAUACCGGUGGCGAAGGCGGCAUCCUGGACCGGCAUUGACGCUGAGGAGCGAAAGCCAGGGGAGCAAACGGG
rnacentral:rRNA from 1 species